AUUGAACGCUGGCGGCAUGCCUUACACAAGCAAGUCGAACGGCAGCACGGGUGCUUGCACCUGGUGGCGAGUGGCGAACGGGUGAGUAAUAUAUCGGAACGUACCUUAUUGUGGGGGAUAACGCAGCGAAAGCUGUGCUAAUACCGCAUAAUCCCUAAGGGGGAAAGCGGGGGACCGUAAGGCCUCGCGCAAUUAGAGCGGCCGAUACCUGAUUAGCUAGUUGGUGAGGUAAAGGCUCACCAAGGCAACGAUCAGUAGCUGGUCUGAGAGGACGAUCAGCCACACUGGGACUGAGACACGGCCCAGACUCCUACGGGAGGCAGCAGUGGGGAAUUUUGGACAAUGGGGGCAACCCUGAUCCAGCAAUGCCGCGUGAGUGAAGAAGGCCUCCGGGUUGUAAAGCUCUUUUGUCAGGGAAGAAACAGCAGCUCUAACACAGUUUGCGAAUGACGGUACCUGAAGAAUAAGCACCGGCUAACUACGUGCCAGCCGCCGCGGUAA
rnacentral:rRNA from 1 species